UCCAGCGGGUGCAAUCGUUAAUCGGAAUUACUGGGCGUAAAGCGCACGUAGGUGGCGACGUAAGUCGGGUGUGAAAGCCCCGGGCUCAACCUGGGAAUUGCAUUCGAGACUGCAUUGCUGGAGUACGGAAGAGGAGGGCGGAAUUCCCGGUGUAGCGGUGAAAUGCGUAGAUAUCGGGAGGAACAUCAGUGGCGAAGGCGGCACUAUGGUCCAGUACUGACACUCAAGUGCGAAAGCGUGGGGAGCAAACAGG
rnacentral:rRNA from 1 species